GAAGAGCAACAGGGAUUGCCUCAGUAACGGCGAGUGAAGCGGCAACAGCUCAAAUUUAAAAUCUGACCUUAAAAUACGGGGUCCGAAUUGUAAUUUGUAGAGGAUGUUUCGGGUGCGGCGCCGGUCUAAGUCUCUUGGAACGGGGCGUCAUAAAGGGUGAAAAUCCCGUAUGUGAUCGGCGACCAAGCCCGUGUGAAACUCCUUCCACGAAUCCAGUUGUUUGGGAAUGCAGCUCAAAAUGGGUGGUAAAUUUCAUCUAAAGCUAAAUACCGGCCAGAAACCGAUAGCGCACAAGUAGAGUGAUCGAAAGAUGAAAAGCACUUUGAAAAGAAAGUCAAAAAGUACGUGAAAUUGUUGAAAGGGAAGCGCUUGCAACCAGACCUGCCCGCGGGUGAUCAGCCGUCCUUCUGGGCGGUGCAUGCGCCCGCGAACAGGCCAGCAUCGGUUCGGGCGGCCGGAUAAAGGCCUUGGGAACGAACUCCCUUCGGGGAGUGUUAUAGCCCUCGGCGCAAUGCGGCCAGCCUGGACCGAGGACCGCGCUUCGCUAGGAUGCUGGCGUAAUGGUUGUAAGCGGCCCGUCUUGAAACACGGACCAAGGAGUCUAACAUCUAUGCGAGUGUUUGGGUGUCAAACCCAUCCGCGCAAUGAAAGUGAAUGGAGGUGGGAACCUUCGGGGCGCACCAUCGACCGAUCCGGAUGUCCUCGGAUGGAUUUGAGUAUGAGCAUAGCUGUUGGGACCCGAAAGAUGGUGAACUAUGCCUGGAUAGGGUGAACCCAGAGGAAACUCUGGUGGAGGCUCGCAGCGGUUCUGACGUGCAAAUCGAUCGUCAAAUUUGGGUAUAGGGGCGUGCUUUCGCCUCUGAUAGCCGUGCUUUUGCUGGCAUGGUCCUAGUUUUUCGGGGCGAGGUUCACGAUCUGCGGGGAUGCUCAGGGUCCCCUGGGCUGCCCGCACCCACCUAUAUCGUUAGGCGGGUCACAGGUCAAGCGUGAACCGGCGGUCGACGGCCGUUUUCGAUAUGAUCGGGCCGCAGCUGCUGAAGCUGCGGGGCGCCGGAAAGAAUAAUCGACCCAUUGAUGUGCUAGGUGGUUAACUGGUUAAAUACUUCCAGUCCGGGCGAUGUUCCGGGCGACAUCACUAUCUGCAUGGACGGCUUCCUCUCUGGGAAAGCCCGAUAUGCUGCGGCCCCGCCGAUCGGUGGGCUGUACACAGACCAAAUAGUGAUGGCUUGUCGGGGCCCUUCGGGGCGUCGAUGGGUUCUGAUAUGGCCGAGUCCGCCCCGUACAACGGGCGCGGAUCGUCGUCGAUU
rnacentral:rRNA from 1 species